rnacentral:rRNA from 1 species
UGGGGAAUUGUUCGCAAUGGGCGCAAGCCUGACGACGCAACGCCGCGUGGAGGAUGAAGAUCUUCGGGUCGUAAACUCCUGUCGAGCGGGACGAAAGAUGCGCGGGUUAAUACCCCGUGCAAGUGACGGUACCGCUAAAGGAAGCCCCGGCUAACUCCAUGCCAGCAGCCGCGGUAAUACGGGGGGGGCAAGCGUUGUUCGGAAUUACUGGGCGUAAAGGGCUCGUAGGCGGCCAACUAAGUCACACGUGAAAUCCCUCGGCUCAACCGGGGAACUGCGUGUGAGACUGGAUGGCUUGAGUUUGGGAGAGGAAUGCGGAAUUCCAGGUGUAGCGGUGAAAUGCGUAGAUAUCUGGAGGAACACCGGUGGCGAAGGCGGCAUUCUGGACCAAUACUGACGCUGAGGAGCGAAAGCCAGGGGAGCAAACGGGAUUAGAUACCCCGGUAGUCCCUGGCCCUAAACGAUGAAUACUUGGUGUGGCGGGUAUCGAUCCCUGCCGUGCCGAAGCUAACGC